AGUCUUUUUCAAAAGAGAAAACCAAAUUUCAUGUUUGUAUUAGUGCAUCUUUAAUGCUAAAGCUACUUUUUAAUAAAAUUUUAUAAAUCUGUCUAGUUUUAAUUAGUUUUUAUUAGUUUUAAUUAGUUUGACCAUAAGGUAAGAUUUUCAUAAACUUUUUAGAGUCCUUUACAAUUUUUCAUUGAAUAGCAGAUCACUUUUUUUAAGGAAACCCUGUUACUCAGACACAUGGGCCCACAUUCUGGCCCUGCAUCAGUGUGCUUUC
rnacentral:lncRNA from 1 species